ACAGACACAGAGAUGAGGGGCUCCACCCAGGGUCCCCCAGCUAGCAAGUGGCUAAGCUCUUCUGAUCCCAGUUACCCUUAAGAUGGUCUUCAUUUCCGGAACCUUUUGCUUCAGAAGCUGGAACUCCUGUGACUUGGGGACUUGUCUUUGAGGUGCUCAUUCCAGGCCAAAUCAAAAACAACCAAACUUCCCUAACAGAAAAUGGACUGUGAGGUUCAAAUGUCUCUGAGGGAAGCUACCAGGCCAAGGAUGUUCUCCAGAAGACAGACAUCAAGAAACCAGACUGAAAAUUAGAAGAAGUAGAGGCCUGCUUCAUGCUUGGUAGCAACACUUUGGUGAGGUGGUAAGACCUAAGAGAAGAGAUGGGUUCUAGCUCACCAGUUUGUCACACCCCACAUAUGGGGCAGGCACAGUAAGGCCACUGCACCACCCGGCAUGAGACUCCUUAAGUCCUAUUAGUGUAUGUGUGGACAGAUGACAAAUAGUCCUGAGAUCCAUGGAUGUCUGCAUGAUUUGGGUUCCUUAGUAAUUGAUAUAUUUCCUUCCUCCAAGGAAGAAUGUGGCUGGUUUUUAAGUGCCCUUGGAGGAAAAUGGGAUAUCUCCCUGGGGGUUUAAAUCCUGAAAAAGUGCUAGAAGCCAAUGGGUGGUGGUAGUCUUAGUUUUACCAAUUAAAGAUGCCAAUGCUGUGUAAUACCACUGAAUAUGACUGCAAAGAGAAGCCUUGACAAGAAAGAAACUGAGAUUAAAGACAAUUUUCAGUAA